GGGGCAUUAGCUCAUCUGGUAGAGCGCAUGCAUGGCAUGCAUGAGGUGGUCAGUUCGAGUCUGAUAUGCUCCA
rnacentral:tRNA from 1 species